UCCCUCUUAGCUCAGUGGUAGAGCGCGUCACUAGUAUCAAAUAUCCUCAUCCUCAUGACGAGGUCAGUCGUUCAAGUCGGCUAGAGGGAA